CUACGGCCACGCCACCCUGAAUGCACCCGAUCUCGUCUGAUCUCGGAAGCUAAGCGGGGUCAGGGCUGGUUAGUACUUGGAUGGGAGAAGUCUGCUGGGUUCAUGGC
rnacentral:rRNA from 1 species